rnacentral:rRNA from 1 species
GACGAACCGUGCGAACGUUGUUCGGAAUCACUGGGCUUAAAGCGCGCGUAGGCGGAUCUGCAAGUCGGGGGUGAAAUCCCGAGGCUCAACCUCGGAACUGCCUUCGAUACUGCGGGUCUCGAGUCCGGGAGAGGUGAGUGGAAUUCCUAGUGUAGAGGUGAAAUUCGUAGAUAUUAGGAAGAACACCAGUGGCGAAGGCGGCUCACUGGCCCGGUACUGACGCUGAGGCGCGAAAGCGUGGGGAGCAAACAGG